GGAGUUACAAAGGAACCGGUUAGAUGAAGAGGUCUGGAAAGGCCCGCCAGAGAAGGUAAAAGCCCUGUAGUUCAAAACCUGUUCCCUCCGAGACGGAUCCCGAGUAGUGCGGGGCACGUGAAACCCCGUAUGAAUCCGGCAGGACCAUCUGCCAAGGCUAAAUACUCCCUGGCGACCGAUAGUGAAGCAGUACCGUGAGGGAAAGGUGAAAAGCACCCCGGAAGGGGAGUGAAAUAGAUCCUGAAACCGUGUGCUUACAAGAAGUCAGAGCCCGAUCUAUGGGUGAUGGCGUGCCUUUUGUAGAAUGAACCGGCGAGUUACGUUCCCGUGCAAGGUUAAGGUGAAGAGCUGAAGCCGCAGCGAAAGCGAGUCUGAAUAGGGCGAAUGAGUACGUGGACGUAGACCCGAAACCGGGUGAUCUACCCCUGUCCAGGGUGAAGGUGCGGUAACACGCACUGGAGGCCCGAACCCACGCAUGUUGAAAAAUGCGGGGAUGAGGUGGGGGUAGCGGAGAAAUUCCAAUCGAACCCGGAGAUAGCUGGUUCUCCCCGAAAUAGCUUUAGGGCUAGCCUCGGAAA
rnacentral:rRNA from 1 species